rnacentral:rRNA from 1 species
AUUGAACGCUGGCGGCAUGCCUUACACAUGCAAGUCGAACGGUAACAGGUCUUCGGAUGCUGACGAGGGCGAACGGGUGAGUAAUGCAUCGGAACGUGCCCAGUCGUGGGGGAUAACGCAGCGAAAGCUGUGCUAAUACCGCAUACGAUCUAUGGAUGAAAGCGGGGGACCGUAAGGCCUCGCGCGAUUGGAGCGGCCGAUGUCAGAUUAGGUAGUUGGUGGGGUAAAGGCCUACCCAGCCGACGAUCUGUAGCUGGUCUGAGAGGAUGAUCAGCCACACUGGAACUGAGACAAGGUCCAGACUCCUACGGGAGGCAGCAGUGGGGAAUAUUGGACAAUGGGCGCAAGCCUGAUCCAGCCAUGCCGCGUGUGUGAAGAAGGCCUUCGGGUUGUAAAGCACUUUCAGCGAGGAGGAAGGGUGGUGUGUUAAUAGCACAUCAUUUUGACGUUACUCGCAGAAGAAGCACCGGCUAACUCCGUGCCAGCAGCCGCAGUAACAC